rnacentral:rRNA from 1 species
AGCGAACGCUGGCGGCAGGCCUAAUACAUGCAAGUCGAGCGGCCGUAGCAAUACGGCAGCGGCAGACGGGAGAGUAACACGUGGGAACGUACCUUUCGGUUCGGAACAACCCAGGGAAACUUGGGCUAAUACCGGAUACGUCCGUAAGGAGAAAGAUUUAUCGCCGAAAGAUCGGCCCGCGUCUGAUUCGGUUGGUGGUGAGGUAACGGCUCACCAAGGCGACGAUCAGUAGCUGGUCUGAGAGGAUGAUCAGCCUCACUGGGACUGAGACACGGCCCAGACUCCUACGGGAGGCAGCAGUAGGGAAUAUUGGACAAUGGGCGCAAGCCUGAUCCAGCCAUGCCGCGUGAGUGAUGAAGGCCCUAGGGUUGUAAAGCUCUUUCGGCGGGGAAGAUAAUGACGGUACCCGCAGAAGAAGCCCCGGCUAACUUCGUGCCAGCCGCCGCCGUAA